UACGUAGGGCGCAAGCGUUGUCCGGAAUUAUUGGGCGUAAAGAGCUCGUAGGCGGCUUGUCACGUCGGAUGUGAAAGCCCGAGGCUUAACCUCGGGUCUGCAUUCGAUACGGGCUAGCUAGAGUGUGGUAGGGGAGAUCGGAAUUCCUGGUGUAGCGGUGAAAUGCGCAGAUAUCAGGAGGAACACCGGUGGCGAAGGCGGGAUCCUGGGCCAGUACUGACGCUGAGGAGCGAAAGCGUGGGGAGCAAACAGG
rnacentral:rRNA from 1 species